CACGUAGGGCGCAAGCGUUGUCCGGAAUUAUUGGGCGUAAAGAGCUCGUAGGCGGUCUGUUGCGUCCGCUGUGAAAACCCGGGGCUUAACCCUGGGCUGGCAGUGGAUACGGACAGACUAGAGGUAGGUAGGGGAGAAUGGAAUUCCCGGUGUAGCGGUGAAAUGCGCAGAUAUCGGGAGGAACACCGGUGGCGAAGGCGGUCU
rnacentral:rRNA from 1 species